GUCUCUGUGGUGCAAUGGGUCAGCGAGUUUGGCUGUUAAUCAAAAGAAUGGUGGUUCGAGCCCACCCAGGGAUG
rnacentral:tRNA from 1 species